rnacentral:rRNA from 1 species
GGGGCCCGCACAAGCGGUGGAGCAUGUGGUUUAAUUCGAUGCAACGCGAAGAACCUUACCUGGGCUUGACAUCCCGAGAAUCCCCUGGAAACAGGGGAGUGCCCUUCGGGGAGCUCGGAGACAGGUGCUGCAUGGCUGUCGUCAGCUCGUGUCGUGAGAUGUUGGGUUAAGUCCCGCAACGAGCGCAACCCUUGUCUUUAAUUGCCAUCAUUGAGUUGGGCACUUUAAAGAGACUGCCGGUGUUAAACCGGAGGAAGUGGGGAUGACGUCAAGUCCUCAUGGCCUUUAUGCCCAGGGCUACACACGUGCUACAAUGGGUGGUACAACGAGUUGCGAGUCGGUGACGGCGAGCUAAUCUCUUAAAGCCAAUCUCAGUUCGGAUUGUAGGCUGCAACUCGCCUACAUGAAGUCGGAAUCGCUAGUAAUCGCGGAUCAGCACGCCGCGGUGAAUACGUUCCCGGGUCUU